UACGAAGGGGGCUAGCGUUGCUCGGAUUUACUGGGCGUAAAGGGCGCGUAGGCGGACAGUUAAGUCGGGGGUGAAAGCCCGGGGCUCAACCUCGGAAUUGCCUUCGAUACUGGCUGUCUUGAGUACGGGAGAGGUGUGUGGAACUCCGAGUGUAGAGGUGAAAUUCGUAGAUAUUCGGAAGAACACCAGUGGCGAAGGCGACACACUGGCCCGUUACUGACGCUGAGGCGCGAAAUCGUGGGGAGCAAACAGG
rnacentral:rRNA from 1 species